GGGUUGUGAGGUUAAGCGACUAAGCGUACACGGUGGAUGCCCUGGCAGUCAGAGGCGAUGAAGGACGUGCUAAUCUGCGAUAAGCGUCGGUGAGGUGAUAUGAACCGUUAUAACCGGCGAUUUCCGAAUGGGGAAACCCAGUGUGUUUCGACACACUAUCAUUAACUGAAUCCAUAGGUUAAUGAGGCGAACCGGGGGAACUGAAACAUCUAAGUACCCCGAGGAAAAGAAAUCAACCGAGAUUCCCCCAGUAGCGGCGAGCGAACGGGGAGGAGCCCAGAGCCUGAAUCAGUGUGUGUGUUAGUGGAAGCGUCUGGAAAGGCGCGCGAUACAGGGUGACAGCCCCGUACACAAAAAUGCACAUAUUGUGAGCUCGAUGAGUAGGGCGGGACACGUGGUAUCCUGUCUGAAUAUGGGGGGACCAUCCUCCAAGGCUAAAUACUCCUGACUGACCGAUAGUGAACCAGUACCGUGAGGGAAAGGCGAAAAGAACCCCGGCGAGGGGAGUGAAAAAGAACCUGAAACCGUGUACGUACAAGCAGUGGGAGCCUCUUUAUGGGGUGACUGCGUACCUUUUGUAUAAUGGGUCAGCGACUUAUAUUCUGUAGCAAGGUUAACCGAAUAGGGGAGCCGAAGGGAAACCGAGUCUUAACUGGGCGUUAAGUUGCAGGGUAUAGACCCGAAACCCGGUGAUCUAGCCAUGGGCAGGUUGAAGGUUGGGUAACACUAACUGGAGGACCGAACCGACUAAUGUUGAAAAAUUAGCGGAUGACUUGUGGCUGGGGGUGAAAGGCCAAUCAAACCGGGAGAUAGCUGGUUCUCCCCGAAAGCUAUUUAGGUAGCGCCUCGUGAAUUCAUCUCCGGGGGUAGAGCACUGUUUCGGCAAGGGGGUCAUCCCGACUUACCAACCCGAUGCAAACUGCGAAUACCGGAGAAUGUUAUCACGGGAGACACACGGCGGGUGCUAACGUCCGUCGUGAAGAGGGAAACAACCCAGACCGCCAGCUAAGGUCCCAAAGUCAUGGUUAAGUGGGAAACGAUGUGGGAAGGCCCAGACAGCCAGGAUGUUGGCUUAGAAGCAGCCAUCAUUUAAAGAAAGCGUAAUAGCUCACUGGUCGAGUCGGCCUGCGCGGAAGAUGUAACGGGGCUAAACCAUGCACCGAAGCUGCGGCAGCGACACUAUGUGUUGUUGGGUAGGGGAGCGUUCUGUAAGCCUGUGAAGGUGGCCUGUGAGGGUGGCUGGAGGUAUCAGAAGUGCGAAUGCUGACAUAAGUAACGAUAAAGCGGGUGAAAAGCCCGCUCGCCGGAAGACCAAGGGUUCCUGUCCAACGUUAAUCGGGGCAGGGUGAGUCGACCCCUAAGGCGAGGCCGAAAGGCGUAGUCGAUGGGAAACAGGUUAAUAUUCCUGUACUUGGUGUUACUGCGAAGGGGGGACGGAGAAGGCUAUGUUGGCCGGGCGACGGUUGUCCCGGUUUAAGCGUGUAGGCUGGUUUUCCAGGCAAAUCCGGAAAACCAAGGCUGAGGCGUGAUGACGAGGCACUACGGUGCUGAAGCGACAAAUGCCCUGCUUCCAGGAAAAGCCUCUAAGCAUCAGGUAACAUCAAAUCGUACCCCAAACCGACACAGGUGGUCAGGUAGAGAAUACCAAGGCGCUUGAGAGAACUCGGGUGAAGGAACUAGGCAAAAUGGUGCCGUAACUUCGGGAGAAGGCACGCUGAUAUGUAGGUGAAGCGACUUGCUCGUGGAGCUGAAAUCAGUCGAAGAUACCAGCUGGCUGCAACUGUUUAUUAAAAACACAGCACUGUGCAAACACGAAAGUGGACGUAUACGGUGUGACGCCUGCCCGGUGCCGGAAGGUUAAUUGAUGGGGUUAGCGGUAACGCGAAGCUCUUGAUCGAAGCCCCGGUAAACGGCGGCCGUAACUAUAACGGUCCUAAGGUAGCGAAAUUCCUUGUCGGGUAAGUUCCGACCUGCACGAAUGGCGUAAUGAUGGCCAGGCUGUCUCCACCCGAGACUCAGUGAAAUUGAACUCGCUGUGAAGAUGCAGUGUACCCGCGGCAAGACGGAAAGACCCCGUGAACCUUUACUAUAGCUUGACACUGAACAUUGAGCCUUGAUGUGUAGGAUAGGUGGGAGGCUUUGAAGUGUGGACGCCAGUCUGCAUGGAGCCGACCUUGAAAUACCACCCUUUAAUGUUUGAUGUUCUAACGUUGGCCCGUAAUCCGGGUUGCGGACAGUGUCUGGUGGGUAGUUUGACUGGGGCGGUCUCCUCCUAAAGAGUAACGGAGGAGCACGAAGGUUGGCUAAUCCUGGUCGGACAUCAGGAGGUUAGUGCAAUGGCAUAAGCCAGCUUGACUGCGAGCGUGACGGCGCGAGCAGGUGCGAAAGCAGGUCAUAGUGAUCCGGUGGUUCUGAAUGGAAGGGCCAUCGCUCAACGGAUAAAAGGUACUCCGGGGAUAACAGGCUGAUACCGCCCAAGAGUUCAUAUCGACGGCGGUGUUUGGCACCUCGAUGUCGGCUCAUCACAUCCUGGGGCUGAAGUAGGUCCCAAGGGUAUGGCUGUUCGCCAUUUAAAGUGGUACGCGAGCUGGGUUUAGAACGUCGUGAGACAGUUCGGUCCCUAUCUGCCGUGGGCGCUGGAGAACUGAGGGGGGCUGCUCCUAGUACGAGAGGACCGGAGUGGACGCAUCACUGGUGUUCGGGUUGUCAUGCCAAUGGCACUGCCCGGUAGCUAAAUGCGGAAGAGAUAAGUGCUGAAAGCAUCUAAGCACGAAACUUGCCCCGAGAUGAGUUCUCCCUGACUCCUUGAGAGUCCUGAAGGAACGUUGAAGACGACGACGUUGAUAGGCCGGGUGUGUAAGCGCAGCGAUGCGUUGAGCUAACCGGUACUAAUGAACCGUGAGGCUUAACCUUACAACGCCGAAG
rnacentral:rRNA from 1 species